GGUGGGGGGCGGGGGGGAGGACAAUAGGUCCCCCCUAUUGUAAUUUUUGGCCCCCACCCGCCGCUCACGGGUGGGGGGGCCAGGACAAUAGGUCUCCCCUGCUAUUUAAUAGAUGCCCCACCAUGGGGCCAUUUGUUGGAAGGGGAGGGUUAUUUUUACAACAGUGAGCAGCCUGUUUAGUAGACAUGCCUCUACUCGUGGCAGAGUGAGUAGGGGCAUUUGGGAGAUUUCAGUAUCCCUUAUGCUAUUAUGGGUGUCAUAUUGACCCCCCAUGGAGUGAGGGAGGACAUGGGGGACUUUGGAAGUGGCAAGGAGUACUGCCCCCUGCCGCUUCUAUUUUUACGUUACAAGGAGGGAGCUGUGCGCCGGUAACUCCCUCCUUGUAAUAAACCAAACAAAGAUAUUCAGUGUUUGUUCGUCUGACAUUUCUAUUCAUUCAUUCGUCUUUCUGACGAAUGAAUGAAUGGAUGAAAUUCCCGUUCAAAUGCCCAAGUGUUUAACAGGGCAUGCGCGGGAAUUUCACAGUGCUAUCUAGUGUGAGCAGAUGACAUGUCCCACAGGGACUUCAUCUACCCACACAAAGAUGGCGGCGCCCAUGACCUUGGUCUGGGCACAAAAUAGAGAUAAAAAAUAGGUAAUAUGGGGGGCUUAGGAGCAUUUGGGGGUGACUAGGGGGACAAUUAGAUGUAAAUUAUUCUGGAGGGAGGUUAAAAAAAACAACUGGAUUCGGCCAUGACAGUGCCUCUUUAA